rnacentral:rRNA from 1 species
UACGGGGGGAGCAAGCGUUGUUCGGAUUUACUGGGCGUAAAGGGCGCGUAGGCGGCGCAACAAGUCACUUGUGAAAUCUCCGGGCUUAACCCGGAGCGGUCAAGUGAUACUGUCGUGCUAGAGUGCGGAAGGGGCUACUGGAAUUCUCGGUGUAGCGGUGAAAUGCGUAGAUAUCGGAGAGGAACACCUGCGGCGAAGGCGGGUAGCUGGGCCGACACUGACGCUGAUGCGCGAAAGCAUGGGGGAGCGAACGGG